CCUACGGGGUGCUGCAGUGAGGAAUAUUGGUCAAUGGGCGGAAGCCUGAACCAGCCAAGUAGCGUGCAGGAUGACGGCCCUAUGGGUUGUAAACUGCUUUUAUACAGGAAUAAAGUUAGCCACGUGUGGUUAUUUGUAGGUCCUGUAUGAAUAAGGACCGGCUAAUUCCGUGCCAGCAGCCGCGGUAAUACGGAAGGUCCAGGCGUUCUCCGGAUUUAUUGGGUUUAAAGGGAGCGUGGGCCGUCUGUUAAGCGUGUUGUGAAAUGUAGAUGCUCAACAGCUGAAUUGCAGCGCGAACUGGCAGACUUGAGUGUGCGCAACGUAGGCGGAAUUCGUGGUGUAGCGGUGAAAUGCUUAGAUAUCACGAAGAACUCCGAUUGCGAAGGCAGCUUACGGGAGCACAACUGACGCUGAAGCUCGAAAGUGCGGGUAUCGAACA
rnacentral:rRNA from 1 species